rnacentral:rRNA from 1 species
GACGAACGCUGGCGGCGUGCCUAAUACAUGCAAGUCGAACGCUGAAGCGCGGCGCUUGCUCGUCUUUCGUGAGGCGCGAACGGGUGAGUAACGCGUGGGUAACCUGCCUUGUAGCGGGGUAUCACUAUUGGAAACGAUAGCUAAUACCGCAUAACAAUGUGUUACACAUGUCAUGUAUUUGAGAGUGGCAAUUGCUGCAUUGAAUGGUGGCCCUUCGUCGGAUUUGCGAGGAGGUGGGGUAAUGGGUCACCUAGGCGACGAUACAGAGCCAAACUGAGAGGGUGGUCAGCCACACUGGGACUGUGACACGGCCCAGACUCCUUCGGGAAGCAGCAAGAGGGCAUCGUCGGGAAUGGGGGCAAAACUGACCGAACAACGCCGCGGCCGUGAAGAAGGUUUUCGGGUGGUGAAGCUCUGUUGUCAGGUAAGAACGCGUUUGCGAGUGUAAAGUACACUCUGUGACGGUAGCUGAUCAGAAAGCAACGGCUAACUACGUG